rfam:Ixodes scapularis strain Wikel colony gcontig_1108378411420, whole genome shotgun sequence.
UCCCGAUUAGCUCGGUUGGCAGAGUGCUCCACUGAAAAUGGAGAGGUCCCUGGUUCGAUACCAGGACCAGGCG